CAAGGCUUGCACUUUUUCCGCCACGCAGGCAGCUGUUGAGCCGAGCCACAAUAGUGGAGCGCACCGUAAUUCGUAUAGGCGCGUAGCCCUCACCGUCGCGUUUCCACAAGGAAACAAUCCAAAGUUCGCGCGCGAGCGUCGCACGGCACUACCCCUCGCGAUCCCCCGGGACGCUGACGCCGCGACGCCCGGAACGGACGAUCGCUCGCGCCACGAUACCGCUCCGAGGGGAACCCGAGCGAGUCGUCGGGGAUCGCGUCUUGGGCGGUAGCGGCAGCCGCGCAGACCACGUGGACUCCGAUUGCCACGCGAAGGUAAGACGAGACGCCGCGCCGGAUUCGCUUUCGACGAGCUCGGCGGAAUCGGACGCCGCGCGCCUCGGAAUCUCCGAUAAACGGCGCGGAGCCCUCGGCAAGGGGUCCACGUUAGCGCGACCUCUGCGCCCCUGCGCCCCGACUUUACGGCCUGUAAUAAAGUCAUUUGGCCGCCGCCGAGCCUGCGCGAGAUCGCUUCGGUCGGGCCGGCGGCGCCCGCCUCCUCCCUCGACCUCGCGCGGCAUUUUACGGCGCCGUCUCGCGAAUCGGUUCCCCCGACUGUGGAGCUGCGAGGACGACGCGGAUAUAAGUCGGCGUUGACAUUGCGGAACGAGAAGAAGAACCUAUCUGACUACGAUUCGUCGGAGAGAAAUCGAGACGCGAUUCAUUCUAAUUUCGCGGCCUCUCACGAUCGUUACUUUUUUUCACCUCUGGCGGAUAUUAAGAAGCUUGACUCGUGCGGGUUUCUAAUAUCUGCCUGCCUACAUUCCAGCCUUUUUUUCCAUCAAACGUGAUUGGUUUGACGAUUCGAGAUAGAGAGAGAGAGGCGGGGGGAGGGGAGACGAGCACGCGAAGUGCCGCGGUGAAAUCGAAUCCGAUUCAUUUUGUCGGCCAAUCGCCAAUUUGCCGCGGCAAUAUCUUUCCGAUGAAACCUAUUAGCCUCGGAGGAGUCGCUCGUCGUCUGGAUCCGGCGUCCCCCAGCGGGAGAGGAAAAUUGGCAGCAAUUUGAAUACGGCGUUCCGUUUGGCCGACGCCACGGAACGCAAUCCGGGUCGACACGCUCGCGGGCGAAAGCAGCUGAUCGCCCGCUAAUUGGGCUUCCGAUCGUCGAGCAGAUACGUAUUGCCGCGGAGCCUGCGAGUUGCUCCGGCCGCGCGCGCCGGUCGACCAGUCGCCCCGGAGCUUUCUGGAAUCACGUGUCGGGAAAGUGGACGGGCGCAAUGCACGAUUCGGCGUCGCGUCGAUUGCGAUAUCGCGAGAGCGAGCGCCAAACUUUCCUCUGCGGCUGUAAAAGUCGUCCGCGAUCCGACGGCAGCCUCUGCCCAAGAUGCGCCGACGCAGUCCGCGUACCUCGCGCGUUUCGGCGAAAGUUAUAAUUGGAGCCGCGCGGGUAUCGUGAGAAGCUGUCGACGCCAGACGCGUUUUUCGCCUUACUCGAGCCGACGGCACGUCGACGCUCCCGACGUCGUCCGAGCCGAGCUGUUCUGCCUAUCUCUCUCCCGAUUCGGUCUGCACGCCUCAUUGAGUACUAAUGAGUGCCGACUGCCACGAUCAGCCGAUCGUCCGCGGAAACAAAAGCGGCGAUCAAAUAGAUUUCAAUUAUGCGAAAUGUAUCUCUCUCUCUCUCUCUCUCUGCGUGGUAAUUUGACGAUUGCGCGCUGGAAUCAUCGAGGGAAGGCAACUUUUUACUGCUCCAUCGGCUCGUCAAUCCAGCGAUUGUUAGUCGAGGAUGGAUUUAUGACCAAAUACAGCGAUGAAAAAGAUGCCGAUCAUUCCAUGCGUCGUGAAGUAAAAGGACCUAUCACAUUAAAAAUUAAGGUAUCUCGUCAGACAGUAACUUGUCAUUAAAAAGUCGUAAAGAUAUAUAAGACACAUAAACAAAGGAAAUCAAGACUAGAUGUCUUAUCACGGUUCAGACUCGCUCAAGAAGAGUAUAACUUGCUUUAAAGAGAGACUAGUGGUGCAGUAAUUAACAAUAUAAAAUAAAUAAAUACAUGCGUAACUCACAAUACAAACAAAAAGAGUGGUCAAUAGUCAAACUUAAGAGUUUAAGACAAGAAAGUAUUUUCGCACCCCAUCCUUGAAGACAGCAAGCCAAGACAAAAUCUGUAGAGAUGAAGAGAGUUCUAUAGCACUUGUAGUACACAGAACAUAGGAUGACAAGAAAAAGAUCAAUUACAUUUUUAAGAAUAACAAGACAUUGGUUAUUGACAUAAAGUUGGGAUACGUAAGACAAUCUACAAUGGAUGAUGUUCGGAUGGAAUAAGAAACAAAAUUAGAAUUAAUUCUGCCUAAUAACGCAGUUUCCGAAUAGCAGAUCAAGCGUAAAGCGAAGACUUGAAUGAUUCCACAGAGGGUUAAAUUCGUAUCGAGUUAGAUAGCGAGAGAGGCGAAGAGGUAGAGGUAGAUGGAAUGAGAGAGAGAGGCGCGUUGCGGAACGGCGCCUCUCUCGUGUCAAUCGAACGCCUCGUCGCGCUUACGUAAGCUGGCACGAGGCGUGAGCAGGCGUCGAUCAGCGUUUCAACGGAUCGACCGCAGUAGGUGAACGUCACCGGCUAUAGCUCGCCGAUCGCGGCGGACGCCGGUAUAUUUGCCGAUCGCGCCGCGCGGCAACGAGCGAUUGGGUCUGACGUCGUCAGAGAGAGGAGGAGGGGCGGAAGAAUCGGUAAGGAGGGCCGCAAACGCUCGGGCCGAACCGACUGCACGUCGCUGCCGUUUCGAUCGGCGCUUCGCUCGCGGACACCCGACGUUCGAGCGCCGUUUCGCCGGGGAGCAGGCCGGGCAAGUGGAGGCAUCAGCCUUCGCCAGCCGUUCGAGCGCCGAGCCGCUGCGAGCGAACGAUGGAAGGCUCUUCGCGAAGCGCGCGCCCACGCUCCUGCGCAUCCCCCUCGCUGCGAGGCACAAAUAGCCGAGUUCGUCGUAUAAGUCGGCAGCGCGGAGCGCGCGCUCAACCGGAACUCGC